rnacentral:rRNA from 1 species
AGUUGGGAAUCUUGCACAAUGGGGGAAACCCUGAUGCAGCGACGCCGCGUGGAGGAUGAAGGAUCUAGGUCUGUAAACUCCUUUUGCACGGAAAGACUUAGGACGGUACCGUGCGAAUAAGCACCGGCUAACUACGUGCCAGCAGCCGCGGUAAGACGUAGGGUGCAAGCGUUGUCCGGAUUUACUGGGCGUAAAGAGCGCGUAGGCGGCUUGUUAAGUGUAGAGUGAAAUCUCUGGGCUCACCCCAGAAACUGCUCUGCAUACUGGCAAGCUUGAGUGAUGAAGAGGUUUGUGGAAUUCCUGGUGUAACGGUGAAAUGUGUUGAUAUCAGGAGGAACACCCAUGGCGAAGGCAGCAAACUGGUCAUCAACUGACGCUGAGGCGCGAAAGCGUGGGUAGCAAA